UGGAAUGGGAGCUAUAAAGCAACAAGAAAUUGGGGACAAGUGAAAUCCAUUUUGGAAAUGGAUGGUGGCUGCUAUGGCAGUUUCUUUCAAUUUCCCAGGCUAAUAGCUCACCCAAAAACCAGGGCUGGUGCUGAGGACCAUGAAGGCUUUGAGUGAUGUUGGGCAUGAUGGUGACCAGUUCUGCUGGCGGAUUUGGGGAACUGACACUGCCUGCACAGUCCUGAAAAUGACGCUCUGUUCCUCUGGUUGUGAGCAUCCUAUGACAUCCAGCCUUAGCUUCCCCAACCACUCACUCCAUCACUUACAGAUGAAAGAAAUGAAGCUGAGUGGGUGAAGUGACCUGCCCAGUGUCACAUAACUGCUAAAUGACAGAGCCUGUUUACAAACUCAGAUCUAGAAAUCCUAAAGCUCAUGCUCUUUGAACUUCACUGAGCUUCUGAAAAGAAAUACAUUCCAAUUAAACCCGUUGGCUGCUGAGAAUGUAAGGUCUGCUUGCAGGAGUCAAGAGUCUCUUCCCUGAUUGGUGCAUAUACAUGCCAUGUAGUCAUGUCAGCACAUGUGAGUCCAUCAUGAAACUCAUGUGGACACUCUGUAUAGAAGCCAGCCUGGCCAUCUGGACAUUGGAGUUCUGGUUAAAAGGAGAAAUCCAUUUGUCCAGCAUUAAUCAAAAGAACCCCUUAAACUUGGGCAGCACAGACUCAAUUUUUAAUUGGGUUCAAGUCAGAUAAUUACUCAGCUGCCCAUAAAAUUCAUUUUAAUUUAUUAAAUGGAGCUUCCAAAAUAGCAUUGCUAUGGAGUAUGGCCAAUUGUGUGGGCAAUUUGUCUAAAGAAAAGUGCUUCAGGCUGAAACCAGGAUCUUUUCUGGCCCAGCAGCUGAAGGUCUUGGCCAAGUGACUCAACCUCUCUGAACUAUUGUUUCUUGGUGUUUCUAUGGGUACAAUAUUCAUAUCUGCCCUGUGGCUGUGUCGAAGAUAGAAAUGAGAAGUUUAUGUAAACUCUGGCUUGGCACAGAAAAGAUGCUCAAUAAAUGGAAUAAGAAUAUAAGAAGGACUCCUUUAGGAGAAAUUCCCAGAAGUCAAAUCACUGAGUAAAACGACAUGGAACAAUCUGAAGAAUUCUUGACUUGUACUCCAACUUUUUUUCCUAAAGGAUUGCACCAAUUUUCACAGCCACUGGCAAUUUAUAGAAGCAUUUGUUCUAUAAAGGAUUUUUAACCAGACCCAUGCCCAUCAGCCUGGGUUGAUGAACGACAGCAUGUCAGAAACCAAAACUGAGAACCACGUGGCAAGGAAGCUUGCGUGAUUUGUGAGCAGAUAAAGAAUUCACACAGGUCAUGUUCAACCAAAGUGCAGGGCUCAGGACGAUUGUCCAAACACCCCACUUCAGUGGAGGAGGGGGCUCAGAGUGCUACGGAGCUUUCUGGGUUGGAUCUGUAACUUUUAAAUGUGCAAGAGACCUUGCAGGCUUGAUCCAACAUCUGCUCAGGGAAGAAAGGGAGGACUGAAGCCAAGGUCUGUGUAUGGAGCGGGGGAGAAGCCAAGUAUUCCAAAGGCAGAGCAUCAUUAGGGUGGAACAUAGCAGGUGAUGGCACUGCCUUUGUUGGGAUUCCCAGAGCGAAAGGCUUUAGAGGAACGAGGAAAAGAGAAGAAUCCUGCAGCCACAGAAAUCCUUUUUUUUUUUUCCACAACAGAGAGGACCGCCACUUCUCUAUCCAUUCAAAGUUAGAAACACAGACUGAUUUUCAAUGGAAACCCAUGACCAUUUGCCAGUUGACAAAGCUCAUCUUGUGACUGGGGUCGGGGUCAUACCUGAAAGAGUUUUUGAAAAUUUUGGAGCUGGACAGACCUGUGACAAAAAUCCAGCUCCAUUGUCAUACCCAGCAUGUCCUGGCUGCCCUGCCCAGAGUUCCUCACUCCCUGUUCCUCACUCAGCCCGCUGUGCUGGUUCUCAUCGCGUGCCUGUGGAUAUUUGAGUCAGCCGCCCUCGCGUCGGGGGCGCUCUGAGAGCACUCCCGGCACCAGCCUCCUUCCAGCCCUCUGCCUCAUCUGCUAAUUGGGAGAGAACUAUUAUAGGUACCCGAGCCCUCAACUUGGCAGCACGCGUGAGAACAGUGGCCCAGUUCUGCUGCACUUGGUGACUGCGUGCACGCGUGCUGUCAAAGGCCCCAUGGAACGUCCUGGUCAGUCCAGGCUUUGGAGAUCGGCAGGGUACACACCUGCCUGCACUUGAUCCCAGUGACUAGAGAGGUGCAAUGUACCAGGGCCACCUGUUAAUCCCAUCAUGAGCAAAAGCGCCGACCUAAUGGAAUUUGUUUGGCAGCCUCACAGCAGGGCAUGCCAAGGCUCCCCAAACAUUAAGUGUAUGAAUGUCCCCCCCUGGAGGAGACGUUUGCUUUUAACCAAUGUUAAAUUCUUCAGCAGCAAACGCUGGCCAGGAAAUCUGUCCCUGCUUGGGGGGCGCGGGAGGGGGAUCCGAGUGCUCAGCUGAGCAGCACCUCAUGAAUAAUUUUAAUUUCUUCUAAAAAGGAAACACAAUAGAAUUUGGUUGCCUCUGUCACUCAGCGACAGCUGACCAAGGCUUUUGAACCAACUGUUCUGACCCAGCGGUGGAGGUGGGGGGAGCAGGAAGGACGGUGCACCCCUGCUCUGCAGGAUGGGGGUAAAAUAAUUUACGGCUGUGGACCAUACACCUUUUAAUGCUCGGCUUUGGAAAAAAUGACUGGUGGCAGGAAAGGAUGAUCUGAUUGCAAACUUCUAAUGAAUGUAUGUUUUAUUGGUGCUUAGGAGGCCUGAAAAAUUCAUAGCAGCACGUGGAUGCAUAACUGAUAGGCCCCACAGAAAACGUGAGUUACUGGACAUGGACAGGAAGCCCCAGGUGUCCUGUCAGAGGUGUGAGAAGGACCCCCCAGCUUCUUGCAGCGAUGGAGUGCUUGGUGUUGCCAGGAGUCUUAAAAUCUCUGUGUAUUCUGGCAGCUGGGAGCAGAAGGGUGUGCUUUUUAGUAUCUUGUCUCUUGGGAGAAUAUACCAUUUCUUUAGGGAAGGAGAUGCGGGGCCAAGACAGAUUCUUGUAUUAAUGGAGUCCCAGAUGUGUGACACAUGUUUCCAACCCUCUCAGGGAUCAUCGUGCUAAUACCAAUCCUAUUAUAAAUCCUGUUUUAUGGGUGAAAAACUACGAUGCAGAAAGGUAUCGCGACAUGCUUAAGGUCACACAAUGAGUUGAGCGGCAAACACGGGGUUCGAAGCCUAUUCCUUUUAUACCACAGUGGUAAUUGCUGAGGACAGGAUGCAUUAGUGAUGCUAAAAAGAGAGGGUAACCGAAGCGUGGAUGGGUGAGAAUCCCGGCCCCUCACUUCCAAGAGGCAGAUUGUUAGCAAGCCACCUAACUGCUCUGUGACUCAGCUGCCUUGUCUGUAAAAUUAAGAUCACUAUAGUACCUACCUUACAGGAUUACUACAGAAAUGGCACGAGUAAUGCAUCUAAAACCUUAGCACCCGACAUGUACUAAGCAAGUUAUCAGCUUUAGGUAUUAGAGUUAUUAUAAUGACAGAGAGUGAGAAACAGAGAUGAUGCAACACCAGAGGUUGUAAGAAAUUAGGUUUUUAGCCUGAGUGAAGUGGGGCAACGCUGCAAGGUUUUAAGCAAAGGAAAGAUAAGAAAGAUAAGAUGUGACUUGUGUUUUAAGUGGUUCCCUCUGGUUCUUGUGUUAAGAGACCAUGAAGGGAGAAGCUGAGAAGGAAGCUAGGAGAUGGUUUGGGAGGCUUUCCUUGAAUCCAGGUGCGGGGUCAUGGUGAGUGAGAAGACCGUGGGAGCAGAGGAAGCAGUAAAAAUUGCUUGGAUUCCAGAUACAUUUUAAAUGCAGCAUCAAAAGGAUUCGCUGAUAGCCUGGAUGUGGGGUGUGAAGGAAACUACAAAGAUGAGACCAGACAACUGGAAAGAUGGAGUCACCAUCCAAGAUGGGAAAGAUAUGGUGGAGCAAGUUCAUGGAGGUUGAGACAGGGCUCCUCGGGUUUGAGACGCCCGUCAGACAUCCCAGGGGAGAAGCCAAGUCAACAGUUCUGGCCAUGACUCUGGAGAGGGCACAUCCUCCAAAUCCCUUCUUUUUGUUCCUAGCAGUAACUCAUUCUCUCCAGGUUAACAUUUGGGAAUGCAAGGGGAGAAAAUGAAAAAUGCACCAGCAAACCCAUGGCGGUCAUGCUCCACAUUUUGGAAGUGCCUUUGGAAAGAGGAUUGAAUUAUGCUCUGUGACUCCCUAACAAAUGUACUCCGUAGAGGCAGAGGAUGAGGAAGAUGAUGGUGGUGAUGAUGAUGGGGAAGAGAGGAUAUCACCAACCAGCUCAGAGAGAAAGAAAUGAUAC
rnacentral:lncRNA from 1 species